UACGGAGGGCGCGAGCGUUGUCCGGAAUUAUUGGGCGUAAAGGGCUCGUAGGCGGUUUGUCGCGUCGGGAGUGAAAACCCAGGGCUUAACCCUGGGCUGGCUUCCGAUACGGGCAGACUAGAGGUAUGCAGGGGAGAACGGAAUUCCUGGUGUAGCGGUGAAAUGCGCAGAUAUCAGGAGGAACACCGGUGGCGAAGGCGGGUUGCUGGGCCGACACUGACGCUGAGGCGCGAAAGCCAGGGGAGCGAACGGG
rnacentral:rRNA from 1 species